GGCGAAUUGUAGUCUAUAGAGGCGUGAUCAGUGUGGGCGCUKGGGGCAAGUUCCUUGGAAGAGGACAGCAUGGAGGGUGAUACUCCCGUUCCUCCCUGAGUGGCUCGUGCGUACGAUCCGUUUUCUUUGAGUCGCGUUGUUUGGGAAUGCAGCGCAAAGUAGGUGGUAAAUUCCAUCUAAAGCUAAAUAUUGGUGCGAGACCGAUAGCGAACAAGUACCGUGAGGGAAAGAUGAAAAGAACUUUGAAAAGAGAGUUAAAGAGUACCUGAAACUGCUGAAAGGGAACCGGAUCGUUUCCAGUGUCUAUAAUCUGUGGCAUAUUUCAUUGGCGAGUGUUUGUGUGCGUGUGCUGUGGCAGUGGCUUUUUUGGCUGCGCCUGGUGUGUGUGUGCGAGUGUUUGCUGGUGCCCUGUGCUGUGGUGGGACGUCAAGGUCAGUUCGUAUGCUGCGGGAAAUGGCUGCUGAGGAGGUAGGGCUUACGCUUGCGUUUGUCUAUUAUAUCUUGGCGGACGAGUCGUCGUGGUUGGGACUGAGGUGCCUACAACGUGCUUUUGAGUGUGUCUGUGUCUCUGUGUGCGCCGUGUGCAGAUAGCUUGCUAUGUGUGUGUGGUUGUGUGUGGAUUGAUGCGGGCUUUAACUUGUCGCCGUUCGGGACGUUGACGAAAUGGAGCGAUCUGACCCGUCUUGAAACACGGACCAAGGAGUCUAACAUGUGUGCAAGUGUUAGGGUGUGGAAACCCCAGCGCGAAAUGAAAGUGAAGGGCAGCGCAAGUUGUCUGAGGUAGGAAAUGCUGUGGGCUUCGGUCUGCGGUGUGGCACUAUCGACCGAUCAUGAACCUUCGUGGUGAAAGAUUUGAGUUUGAGCACAUAUGUUGGUACCCGAAAGAUGGUGAACUAUGCCUGAGUAGGGUGAAGCCAGGGGAAACUCUGGUGGAAGCUCGUAGCGAUUCUGACGUGCAAAUCGAUCGUCAAACUUGGGUAUAGGGGCGAAAGACUAAUCGAACCAUCUAGUAGCUGGUUCCCUCCGAAAUUUCCCUCAGGAUAGCAGCAACUUAUUUACGAUAGUUUUAUGAGGUAAAGCGAAUGAUUAGAGGAUUCGGGG
rnacentral:rRNA from 1 species